ACCGGAAUGUGAACAUUUUGUGAUCAACUCCUUGAACCUUUCCCAUGCCUCAUGAAACUCUUCGUUUGGUUUUUGGGCAAAAGAUGAAAUUUGAGUUCUCAUGUC